GCUUAACGCGAAGAACCUUACCUGGCCUUGACAUCCAUGGAAUCCCGAAGAGAUUUGGGAGUGCCGCAAGGAACCAUGAGACAGGUGCUGCAUGGCUGUCGUCAGCUCGUGUCGUGAGAUGUUGGGUUAAGUCCCGCAACGAGCGCAACCCUUGUCCUUAGUUGCCAUCAUUAAGUUGGGAACGUCUAAGGAGACCGCCGGUGACAAACCGGAGGAAGGUGGGAUGGACGUCAAGUCAUCAUGGCCUUUAUGGUCCAGGGCUACGACACGUGCUACAAUGGCAAGUACAGAGGGAAGCCGAAACCGGCGACGGGGGAGCGUAAAUCCCAGAAAACCUUGUACUUAGUCCGGAUUGCAGUCUGCAACUCGACUGCAUGAGUUGGAAUCGCUAGUAAUCGCAGAUCAGCAUUGCUGC
rnacentral:rRNA from 1 species